AUGCUGAUAUUUUGGAUGUGUUCAGGGUUUGUACUGAGUGACAGUAUGCUGAAUCUCAUGGCUCUACGAUACGGUGACUCUAAUGGUGAAAUUACACUGGAAAACUUUAUUGUGCUCGUCCUGCGCAUGGAUUGCAUGGCCAAGACAUUCAAGAGACUCGCUGCUGGAGGGCCGGAUAUGAUGCUUGGAGAAAAUGAAUGGAUGCAUCUAACCAUGUACUCGUGAUCCAGAUGAGACUGAGAGAAUGCAUCCUGCACAGACUUCUGAGACCUCACUGAUUACAUACAGCAAUAAAAUAUACAAAUCUAAGACUUAAAUGCAACUUUACCUUCAUACUUGAUAUUAGACAUAAUGCAGGCUUGUUAGCUACAAUUUAUUUCAUUGUGCAUAAGGAAAUUGAUUGGAUUUGAUAUAAUUAAUUAUGUGGUGAGAGA